UGGACACCGGCGUCUUCAGGAUUCUGGCGUCUGGUGCGUCUAUGUGGAAUGGGGCCUGCUUCACCUCUGCCUGUACCUGUGCCUGCCGCCUUUCUGCUGUUCUCGCGCCAGAAGCACAUUGGGCCGCAUCUCGACCGAGUACAGCGAGGGGAUACCCUUCAGGAUGUGGGCGAUGCGUACGCCCUAAACGUGUAGGUGGCGGAGCGGUGCAUCUACUGGACUGACCAGCCGCAUCUACUGGUCCGAUGCGGAGGUUCGUCUCAUCGAGGUCGCCCGCCUGGAUGGCAGCAGUCGGCGCGUGCUCUUGUGGAAAGGGUUGGAGAAGCCGCGUUCCCUCGUCCUCGAGCCGCGUCGUGGGGGUACAUGUACAUGGGCAGACUCCAUACGCCGCGCCACAAUGGACGGAUCCAACCAGCAACCAUGGCCGGGAGUUCAUAUUCGACCAGGAGACGAGACGCGACAAGAAGCGUCGGAUACUGGUUGUCUGCUAGGACUCCGUGUACUGGAGCACCGGGGACAUUGAUCAAGACGGGCCAGAGCCGCAGCCUCGCCAAGGACUUGCCCUACAUCCCCCCAGCUACGACAGACUGCCCGAAUGUGCCGCUGCCGGUGUCCGGCAAGAAUAUCCGUGCCCAGCCUCGCAACAUUACCGUGCAUGCUCUUCUCGACAGAAGUCGGCAGCCAUCGGGCCCGAGUCGAUGGCAAUGAGCGUGUGGAGCUGGACGGAGUCACGGCGCUGGCCCUGGACCAACAGUCCAAAAUACCAUGCGUAUCGAAGUUAUAGACAUCAAUGGGAAGAACAAAAAAACCUUUGUUUCCAUGCACAUCACGCAGGUGAACAACAUUGCCGCCUAGGGGGGAUUUGUGUACUGUCUGGACGACAAGACCGGACUGGAGACGAUCACUGUCAACGGAGAGCGUCGUUCCGUGGAGCUGCAGCGCCUGCCGCAGUUCACCAACAUCAGUGCCGUGUGGACACCGGAUGCGAAAGUGCUGCGCAAUCACAUGGCACAGUCGCCCAAAUUGUUUCCACAUCUGCAUAGCCAGCAGUACGCAGUACUCACGACGUCUGCUCGUGCCCCAAGCAUCUGAUGCUACUGGAGGACAAGGAGAACUACGGCGUCUAUCCGGCCAGAUAAUUUAAAUUGGCGGGAGUUCAGCUGAUAGUCAGGCGAGGGCUCUGGUCUGCGAUGGUACCACCUGUGACAACUGAGACAAUGGCUACGAUGAGGUCGACUGUUGCAAGCGGCCAGCAGACUUUCAGUGUCCCGUCAACAAGCUUUGCAUCGGCCGCCCUGCUCUGCGAUGGCCUUGCCUCGGAUAUUUUCGCGCACCGAGCCAAAAAUCGAGCUUUAAUGGCUCCAUCGAAGAAAUUAAAUAAGCAGUAAUCAUAGCCAAAAAUAAUUUUAAAUCACUGCAUACUGAUAUUUUCCUCGCAGGGAAGCACGCCGUCAAGCACUCCCUUUUAAACACUUUAAAAAGGCAAUAGAGAACCUGCCGGAUAUUGCAUCUGAGGUGCAACGCGACCAAGCUGCGGAUGAAGAUGGAGCAAAAGACUAUGGAUGAGUAUGCCAGGCUACCACUACCACAAUUCCUUCUACAAGGACCCAAGGUCCGAAGGCGACACCAGUUUAAGGUACGCGCUUGUCCCCAACGAACGAAGGACAAGUUGCUCAGCAUGCCCAAAAGCGGAAGAGGAUGAUUCGCCCGAGAAGUUUCAGCAUGAAUAGGCAAAAAUGGGAAAGUUCUUUUUUCCGGUUACAUUCUACGCCUUUGCAAAGUACGCGGACAAGGAAACGAAACCCAAACAAAUAAGCACGGAAGAAGUCAAGCCCGAUGGCAACACUGAAACGCCUUCUACAUGGUUAUGGAAAAGCGAAAGUCCACCAAUAUAUUCCCUGAGGCAACUCCUGGCUAUCCUGUUCAUGAAAAAACAGUAAAGUUUUUAGCGGAGUAUAGUCCGGAUAAACAGUCCAUUGAUAUGAAACAAGAAACACGUAUUUAAGGAUAUAUUUAUUUUAUAUUUAAGA